UUGCGUAACCGGCGCAUCGGUCAGCACAGUCAGGUUCUUUCUCUCCAUCGCGGGCUUCAGAAAAGCCACAGCAGUCGACUGACGCUGCUGAUCCUUGAUAUUGAAAUUCACCCACGCCGGUCCUUCCAUCGUCGGACCGUUGAAAUCCUUGGUUUCGGGAUAGCCAAGGUCCACGGCUGCCUCGAUAAACGCGGCAGCGCCCGGAUG
rnacentral:misc_RNA from 1 species